rnacentral:misc_RNA from 1 species
AAAGUCGUAACAAGGUUUCCGUAGGUGAACCUGCGGAAGGAUCAUUAACACGUAUCCAACGUUAAACCCCCCCCCGUGAACAUUCAUCUGUUGACUCGCCCACCCGCUUGCCAGCAAACCCUAGUAAAUCAUCGCCAACAGUUUUGAUUUAGGGUUUCGCAGAGUACGUGAGAAAUUAUAGUGUGGUUUGUAGCGACAUACUACACCUCAGCCUCUCCGGGGCCUGCAUAUCGGAUUGGAAAGUGCCAUAUGCAUAAGCCGACGAGUUGGACCCUUAUGGUUGCACUGGAGGACAUCACGUCCGGUGCCUAGGUGCGGGCAUACGCGCCCCCUUAUAACCCAGUCUCGAGUCGGGCUUGCGGUAACUCGCUCGCCCACCAAACGAACAACUGUUAACAAUGGAUAUCUUGGUUCUC